rnacentral:rRNA from 1 species
AUUGAACGCUGGCGGAAUGCUUUACACAUGCAAGUCGAACGGCAGCACGGACUUCGGUCUGGUGGCGAGUGGCGAACGGGUGAGUAAUGUAUCGGAACGUGCCCAGUCGUGGGGGAUAACGUAGUGAAAAUUACGCUAAUACCGCAUCCGAUCUAUGGAUGAAAGCGGGGGAUCGCAAGACCUCGCGCGAUUGGAGGGGUCGAAAUCAGAUUAGGUAGUUGGGGGGGUAAAGGCACACCAAGCCAACGAUCUGUAGCUUGUCUGAGAGGACGACCAGCCACACUGGAACUGAGACACGGUCCAGACUCCUACGGGAGGCAGCAGUGGGGAAUUUUGGACCAUGGGCGAAAGCCUGAUCCAGCCAUUCCGCGUGCAGGAUGAAGGCCCUCGGGUUGUAAACUGCUUUUGUACAGAACGAAAAGGUUUCUACUAAUACUAGGAGCUCAUGACGGUACUGUAAGAAUAAGCACCGGCUAACUACGUGCCAGCCGCCGCAGUAA